rnacentral:rRNA from 1 species
GUUGUCGUCAGCUCGUGUCGUGAGAUGUUGGGUUAAGUCCCGCAACGAGCGCAACCCUUGAACUUAGUUGCCAUCAUUCAGUUGGGCACUCUAAGUUGACUGCCGGUGACAAACCGGAGGAAGGUGGGGAUGACGUCAAAUCAUCAUGCCCCUUAUGAUUUGGGCUACACACGUGCUACAAUGGACAAUACAAAGGGCAGCGAAACCGCGAGGUCAAGCAAAUCCCAUAAAGUUGUUCUCAGUUCGGAUUGUAGUCUGCAACUCGACUACAUGAAGCUGGAAUCGCUAGUAAUCGUAGAUCAGCAUGCUACGGUGAAUACGUUCCCGGGUCUUGUACACACCGCCCGUCACACCACGAGAGUUUGUAACACCCGAAGCCGGUGGAGUAACCAUUUUGGAGCUAGCCGUCGAAGGUGGGACAAAUGAUUGGGGUGAAGUCGUAACAAGGUAGCCGUAUCGGAAGGUGCGGCUGGAUCACCUCCUUUCUA